GACGAACGCUGGCGGCGUGCUUAACACAUGCAAGUCGAACGGAAAGGCCCCCUUGUGGGGUACUCGAGUGGCGAACGGGUGAGUAACACGUGAGUAACCUACCCUUGACUUUGGGAUAACUUCAGGAAACUGGGGCUAAUACCGGAUAGGAGCUCCUGCUGCAUGGUGGGGGUUGGAAGUUUCGGCGGUUGGGGAUGGACUCGCGGCUUAUCAGCUUGUUGGUGGGGUAGUGGCUCACCAAGGCUUUGACGGGUAGCCGGCCUGAGAGGGUGACCGGCCACAUUGGGACUGAGAUACGGCCCAGACUCCUACGGGAGGCAGCAGUGGGGAAUAUUGCACAAUGGGCGGAAGCCUGAUGCAGCAACGCCGCGUGCGGGAUGACGGCCUUCGGGUUGUAAACCGCUUUCGCCUGUGACGAAGCGUGAGUGACGGUAAUGGGUAAAGAAGCACCGGCUAACUACGUG
rnacentral:rRNA from 1 species